UUUCUCUCUUAACUCAACAUCAACUACCCCUCCUCUAACUCUCUCUCUCUCACGGCAUCUUCUCUAACUCUCUCUCUCACGGCCGAAGAAGAAAAGAAAGAAGAAAGCAAUCUCUAACUCUCUCCCUCGCGGCGGCUCCGACGCGUUUGACACAGCUUUUUUUCGACGUCAGGAAAAAGAACUUGGUAGAGAAGUAACUGAUCUUGAGUUAUUUCAAAGAUGCCAUAGAAAGAACAAAGGAAUUGGGGAGUUCAUCGACAACAAGUCCAAAAGAAUUAGUCUCCUCAUCUACAAGUUCAAGUUCAGUCCGUUCUACUCUUAAUGCAUCUGACUAGAAGAUUAAUGAGUUAAUAAAAGUUGUGGAGGACAUGCGCUCUAAUGCUGCAAAAAUGAAAGAAGAAUUUUCAAGACGAGAAGAAGAACAUAGAAAAUUACUUGAAAUUGCUCUUGAAGAAGCUCAAAAGAAGGAGGAAGAGACUUGGAAGAGGGAGGCAGACCUACAAAAAUUAGUUCGAAAAUUACUUCAAGAUAUGAGAUACACAAACCAUCAAUUUGCUGGUGGUCUGGACAACAGAAGCAACAACAUUCCAGGAAAGCAGGAGCAGAUGAUCCGGUGGCUGUUUGUUUGAGGCAAUGUUACAUAACCUGCACGAGCACUGGAAUCACUGACCCUUUCUGUUUGAAGAAUUGUCAGAGACAAUGCAACCAUGAAGAGUUGUCGGAGACAAUGCUACCAACAGCCACCACGACGGCCGGAAAAGGCCGUAAAUAAUAGUGAGGAGGAGAGUGUUGUUGUGUAAGAAAAACAUGUUUGGAGAGAAGUAUCAGCGGAUAUAUCUCGAUGUGUUGUAAUAA